AUGGAGACCAUCAGACACUACCUGUUUGAGAGAGUAGGAAAUCAAAAUACGGUGAUGGUGGCAGAGAGCCUGGUGCUGAGCUGUCCUUGUGAUGGGCGUGGCCUGCUCCUCUGCAGGCGGUGCCCACAGCCGCGUGUCCAGCUGUCCACUGAGGCGGACACAUCUCUUUUCUCAGGAGGUGUAAAGUACAAAGAUGAUGUGGAGUCUCUGCUUGGGGAGAAGCCGCAGCCCAAAGAGCAGGAGCUGUCCGCAGAGCUUCCCCUGACCGAGCAGCUCAGGGUGUCCACGUUGCUCAUUCGAGAGCAGAAAUGGGAGCUCUCUGAGUUAACCAAGAAGCUGAAAGAAGGGAGAGCAGUGUCAUUGCUGCUGAAGGAGUCUCUGGAGGUCCACCUCAGUCGAGGUCACCCUGACAACGAGCACAGCUGGCGACAGGGACUGGCUGCAGGGUGCAGGCUGGCAGAGCAGCUCGUCCACAUGCUCAACCUAGAGAUUCCAGAACAGGAGGAGGAUGGAAAAGAACAGCUGUUGCUGGGCCCCAGUGUGAGUGCAGAGGGCCUGCAGCGGGAGGAGGAAGAAGACCAUUUGACUCCCUCUGGCGGGUCUGAGCCUGGUGAGACCCAGCAGCCUCCCUGCACCACUGCUGCCCUGGUAGAUGAGGUAGAGACCCCUUCUCCAGGUGCCUCCGAAAAUCAAAAUCACCCUGAGGACGAGGACACCCUGGAGCCAGAAUCGCCCAGGGUUAUAAUUGAAGAUCUGGCCUUGGAUUUGAAGCCUAUAGAGCAGUUUCAGAGAUGGAGGGACAUAAUCUUCUACCUGCGACUGAGUCUGAAGGACAUGCUGACCCCAGAUGGACCUGUGAGCCACCAGGAACAACAUGCAGAGAGGCGCAGGCUGGCCAAGAGCCCUCGCCCUCCAGCUCAGCCCAGGUGAAGUGGCUGCGGGCCCUGGUCAACACUGGGCUUCUCCAAGGCACCCAGCUGUGGGAGACCCCGGCAGACAGGCCAUCUCUACAUCACUUCCCUUACUGUCUACGUUUUCCUGGGAGUCUCAGCUCAUCAGGAUGCCGCCCUGGAGGAACACUUGGGGGGAGGAACACAUGGGGUGGAGGCCACACAAUUCCCCCUCACUGUUCUCCCCGAUAGAAUGGGGCUCCUGACACCAACAGCCUUCCUCGCCAUCCUCACAGGGAGGGGAGAUGGGGCGGGGGGUUAGGUUCCUCACAGUCUGGGCUGAGGGCAGUUUUCUCUCAGGUGUCCUCACGCUGACUUUAUUGUGGCUGAGGGGUUCCAGAUCCUUGCAUGAUUUCCGUUUGCUCAUGUGUCUACAAGGCGCUCAGGGUUGUUACACUGGAGUUGUAGCAUUCGAGUAGGGAAUCUCUGUGAGUGUCCUUUCAGAGGGCUGUUGUCACCCUGAAAAGUUUCACUAAGGAUUGGAUGUCACAGAAUGUGGUCUGGGACAUUGGGUAACAUUGGGAGAAUGGCCACUACAUACAUGGUAAGAGGAUGACGGGGCAUGCAAGGAAGUUACCAGGGUGUGGGCAUUGUAGGGCAGGCUUGUAUCUCCUUUCCUUAGUGAAAGGAGGCAGAGGGAUGUGAGAGCCAUGGUGAGCUAGAGAUCCAUUUACCCUGCGCUCCAGCUGUGUGACAGGAGCAAGGAGUAUCCAGUGCUCGGCUGACCAAGAUCCAAGUGAACUUGGCCCAGGAAAACUCAUAGCUCAUCAGGAUAAUCAUCCCCAGAUGGGGACGUUGUGCAUGGAGGAGCAGCCUGCACCCCAGAUUGUUUCUGCUGAGGUGACACAGGUCAUUCAGUGCAGUUCCCCAUGUCCCUCCAAAAACCCUGCGUGCUCAUUCGUGUCCUCGCGCUCAGGUGGGUGGGGUGGGCAUGGGGGAAGUGGCACCAUGGAGUGACUGUCUGCACCUUUCUGAAUUUGCUUGCAGAGCAGCACUGCAAUGGGGAUGAUGAGGAAGAAACAGAGUCCCCAGACUCCAGGUAACCGAGCGUGGUCAGGGCUGUAAGCCAGUGUGACAGGAGAAGGGUUGUGUGAAAGCCAAGACCCGGGGUUGGGAGUGGCCACAGAUUUCAGUCAGGGUGAGAAAAGCCUGCCGAUGGCCAUGGUGUCACUCACCCAGCCAAAGGCACCAUGGCCUUCACCAAGGCCCUGUGUGUCCUCUGGGCAUUCAGAGAGGGCAUCUGUGCAGGGAGAACUAAGCAGUUUGGGGCCGUUAUUGUCCUUAAAGAAGCCUGAGAGAGGUUAAAGUGAGGAUAGCAUGCACAUCGGCUCUGAACUGUUGCUCUGAGUGCAUGGAGAGCUGAGACACAGCGAGGAAAGUUGUGGAUCCCCCGAUAGAAAGGUAUUUCUUGUCUCAACAUUGCUAAGAAAAGGCUCAGAAGGCCCAGGUUCUCCUGCAGUCUCCACCACUGGAGCCUGUAUUCACGGGACCCUGUUCACAAGAUUGGGCCCUGCUGUGGUUCCCACUGUGUGCUCCCUGUCCUGACUGCACCUCAGAGGGAAGCUGGCUCUCUCCCCUCAUCAGCUGCUCAUCUGGACAGUGCCCUGAGCAGAGGCGCCUCUCUCUUCUCUGCAUCCUUUUCUCUGUCUGUGUCUGUCUCUCUCUCUCUCUCUCUCUCUCUCUCUCUCUCUCUCUCUCUCUCUCUCCCUGUCUAUUUAUCUCACAUUCUUACAGUAGGUGAGCAAUGCCUGAGUCAGAGGGGACCAGUUUCCUUCUGUCUUUUAAUUUAAUUUUUUGUACGGGGAAUUGAACUCGGGUCCUUGUGCUUGUGCAGCAGGCAGCGAAACCACUGAGCUAAAUCCCUGGCCCCUUUUUUUUUUCUUCCUUUUUUCUUUUCCUUUUUAAAAAAAUUUUAUUUAAAAAACCUUCAGUGCAAUAUUAAAAAGCAAUACAGCCAGCGGGAGCAACGACUGAGAGAAAGGGGAGGGCAGACAAGACCCAGGACCCCACCCAGCUGUUCCCCAAGCCUCCUGUGGCUGGAGGCCAGGGGCAGCAGGCUGGGAAGGGGGCAUGGGUGGUGGGGGAGGGAGGAGACCACCCACCAAAAUGAACGAGCAGAACAAAACAUUUAUAUAGGAAUCAUCUGGCUGAAAAUGAUUUUGGGGAAGCCAAAAUUUGUUUUUUUUCUUUCCUAAAAACGUCCUUGGAUUGGGAGGGGGUCGGCCUCCUGGAGUCCCACACUGUACUCCACUGUUGGGGAGCAGAUAUGCAGGGGCCAGGUGUGUGUGAGAGACAAAGGGAGAUGAAUGGAGAGGCGCCCCUCGCCGGACUCUGUCACCAGGGCCCCAGGUGCCCUAGGCAGCUCCUGGACUCUCCUGGACUCUCCUGGGCUUGGGUGAGAUGGGAGUCAGAAUGGACCUCGGGAGGGCAUUGCCCGGCACUCAGCCUAGAAAACCAUCAGGGUCCUCAUCUUCAAAAUGGCCUUGCUGAAGCACCUUGAUGUGGUGCUCGUAGAUUUUGAGGGCUGGGCCCAGGCGGAUGGGAAGGCCAGUUAGCAAUCUGUGCGCUGCAUGAGCAGCAAGGAUUUGCCGUCGAUCUCCUGCUCCUGGAAGGCAGUGGCCUGCUCAGGGAAGCAGGCCUCAGUGAAGUACUCUACCACGCCCAUCACUGUCCGCUCCACCGGGUCUGCUGGCUUCUCCUUGCGCCCGGGAGUACAGCCAAAAGGGGUCCCAUCGGCCCCAGGGAGGGCUGGCUUUCCUGGGGGCAAAGGCACAGGGGACAGGGAAUCUGGCCCAGUGGCAACAGAGGCCGAUCCUCCUUCCUUAUUCAUGGCUGCCAUGGAGAACACCUGGGGGGUACCACUCCCCGGUGCCGGUCCCCGCCCUUCGUCCUGCCCCGGGAGGGGUCCACAGGGUGUCCACUCCUUGACCCUCUCCUUAGCGCUCGGAGGGGCACGUUCACCAUUAAGCUGGAGGUGCUGGGCACCUGCAGGACGGUCACUCUCGGGCACUUCUGAGCUCUCAGACACAUCAUCUUCGUCAUCUUCAUCUUCUUCAUCUUCCUCUUCUUUCUCAAGCAGUCACUCUUCUCUUCUCGCUCCGCGACGCGCGGGUGCAGGCAGCCAGCAGGGCCCUUCCAGGCCUGUCCCUGCGGGGUGGCGCGAGCGCUCCAAGGUGAGUGCGCUCCAGGCGGCCCCGCGCCACUGCCUCCUCCUCCAACAGCCUUUGCACGCGGCCACGAGUCAGGCGCCCGCUUGUGCUGCCCCCGACGUAGCACAUGACUUCCCGCA
rnacentral:lncRNA from 1 species